CCUUCCUCUGGCGUUCCACUUGGGACGUUUGGCCAGAGCUGGUUGUAGUGCUACAGGUCCGCGUCUCCCCGGAGCAGAGGUUUCAGCAUGUGCGGCGGGAGUGCAGCUUCCUGUCAAGAGGACUCAAGAGGGGAAAGAGGAGGCCUGGAGUGGACACCAGAAAAGGACAAUGGCCAAUAAAGUGAGCUAUCAGCCUGACAACCUCCUCCAUUAAGGGGGGCCCUGGGAGCUAGCCCGUGGUGAAACUGCCGACCUGGCAGGCAUGGAUGAUGUGGAUGUCCAGGACCAUGCAGCCAGAGGUAGCUGGCUUGAAAUGAAGCAGGGGAUGAACUCUGCAGGGGGGAAUCCCCAGAUCCAGGGCUGCCCACUGUCUUUGGUCCCACUCCCAGGCCUGGAAUCUUCCACCAAGGCUCCUCCCAGGCCAAGGCCCAGGCUUCCCUGGAGACUUCCGCCCCAUUUCCUGAAGCCUCACCUCUGGGAGGAGGAGGAAGUCCACCAGGCAGCAACUCCUCUGCCUCCUCCUGUCCGCCUUUGCCCCGGGGGAAGGGAGGGAGACACUGCGGACAGCAAACCCCCGACCCAGAGAACUCCAUCCCCGCUCCGUCGCCUCUUCUGGGGCCUAGAGACCCAGACCUGCCUUUCCACCAGUCAGAAAACAAAAGAUGAAAAAAGUCUGGAUGCAAGAGUGAAAUACUGGGUCAUGAAUAUGGUGCCUUUUUCUUGCUUACACCCGCGAGCACAGGAGAGCGGAUGCCAGUGACAUUUGUUUUCUGCUCCGCGCCGGGCACAGAGCAGUUCAGAGAAGGAAGAGCCGAGAACCACAUGCAGCCCGUCUCCAGGGCCCAGCCCCGCCCUCCUCGAGUGGCGCAGACGACUGUGGUGGGGCUGUUGGGUGCCAUGGCACUGGACUGCCUGGGAG
rnacentral:lncRNA from 1 species